rnacentral:lncRNA from 1 species
AGUGACAGUGUCCUGUACAGUGGCUAGGCAGAGAAAGACUGCUGAGAACAGACAGACCUGGCUUUCAUUAGUUAAGAGAUGGACAGAGGAAGGAGCUCCACCCACUCACAAAGACAGUGGCCUCCAUAUCCCGAGAGGGGAGUCAGGAGCAUGACAUGUUCUACACAACUACAGUCUUCAUCAUAAUCCCAAAGGCAGCCAUAACCAUGGGUAAUUGGGAUAAUAUUUAGAAAAUAUUUGCAUGCCAAAACUGACAUUUUUAGAGGCCAUGGAGAAACAGGUUUCCAAUGUCAAGUUUUGUUGAAAGAGGACACACAUUAUUCUAGAUUCUGAAAGUUCCCUUCAUCUUCAAAGAGCUAGGCCUUGCCAGUGUGACUGUGGAGUUUGCUAUAAGCCUGAAUAAAGAGAAGACAGAGGACAUCAAGUUAGGGAAACCCCACCCAACAGGAAGGAGACACUCUUCUGGCCAAGAGGCAAGUUGGGGAGGGAGGGAUGCAGAGAGAAGAGAAGAUGAGAGAAGUUAAGGCUGAGCUAGUAUCUGAGAAUACCUCACAUGUGCCCCACAGCCUGCCUCUUCCUCUGCUACACUGUGGCCAGAAAGGGGUCUCAGUGUUCUACGUGCCCCCAGAGGGUGUAGCUGCGAGUCAGACUGCUGAGAGGUCACCUUUGCAGAGCCUAGAGACAGAUGACAGACAAAGCUGAGAUUUAGAGAUCUUUGGGGCCAGGAAGAUCUGAGCAGUGGAGGUCCCAAAGCACCAGGAGAGACAGCUAGACCUAGUGGCCCCAGAAUUGGAUGCUCAAAGACAUGAUCAGGCCAGGCCCAGCUCAAUCAGCACCUGCUAUGUCUCAAAGGCAGGAUGAGUUCAGAGGCACCACUCCACACUGUGAGAAUCCAUAAUUGUUUCCCUCUUCCAGCUGCCAACCUGGGACAUAGACGGUGAAGAGACAUCCUUUGAGAAGGAAAUCUUAAUUUUUAUUUAACUGUGUAUUUACCCAAAAGAAAGUGAGUUAGACCAAAAGAGUCUAAGUUGCUUUCAAUGGGCAAGUUUAAGGUUCUCCCUCCUUCCUCUGCCAUCAACAGGAAAUGAUGAGAUCCAUAUAGAGAAUAUUUAAAAGGAAAUAAAUUAUCAUUUUCUGCCCCUCUGAGUUGCAGGGUGUAAAUUCUUCCUCUGCUAGAAGCGUGUGCAAUGUGGGAAGCCCAGCACACAGAAAGAGCUUAAUUCAUGCUGCUGAUUUAAUAGAUUUUUUUUCAUGGAUGUGCCAGAAAGCCCCAUUCAUGUAAACACUACAAUUGCAAAAGUUUAUGCCAGACAGAAGCCUGCAUUUGUUGGGGAUUAAAAGAAAGGGCACUUGACUUUGUAGCCCAAAGACCCAGGUUUUCCAGGUGCAGUCCUGGCAUUGAGUUGUCAUGUCAUCCCAGGCAAAUCAUGGACUUGUUCUGGGCCUCUGUUUCUUUCUUCAACAUGAAGGAAUUUGUUAAAGAAAUUUCUAAAAUUCUUCUGUUAAUGAGUAAUGAUGAUAAUAUCAGUAGUCACAAGCAUUUACUGAGCACUGACUAGCUGCCAACCACGGUGUUGUUUGCUUUGUUUAUAUAACCCCAUUCACUUUUAAAAUCAUCUUAUGAGGGAAAGAAACCAUUAUCACCCACAUAAGGUAUGACUGCUUAUAUAGAAAAU